rnacentral:rRNA from 1 species
GACGAACGCUGGCGGCGUGCCUAAUACAUGCAAGUAGAACGCUGAAGGAGGAGCUUGCUUCUCUGGAUGAGUUGCGAACGGGUGAGUAACGCGUAGGUAACCUGCCUGGUAGUGGGGGAUAACUAUUGGAAACGAUAGCUAAUACCGCAUAAUAGCAGUUGUUGCAUGAUAACUGUUUGAAAGGUGCAAUUGCACCGCUACCAGAUGGACCUGCGUUGUAUUAGCUAGUUGGUGGGGUAACGGCUCACCAAGGCGACGAUACAUAGCCGACCUGAGAGGGUGAUCUGCCACCCUGGGACUGAGACACGGCCCAGACUCCUACGGGAGGCAGCAGUAGGGAAUCUUCGGCAAUGGACGGAAGUCUGACCGAGCAACGCCGCGUGAGUGAAGAAGGGUUUCGGAUCGUAAAGCUCUGUUGUAAGAGAAGAACGAGUGUGAGAGUGGAAAGUUCACACUGUGACGGUAUCUUACCAGAAAGGGACGGCUAACUACGUG